rnacentral:lncRNA from 1 species
CCUCAGUAGAGAUCUUUUUCUGUCUUUCUCGUACCAAGACCUUAUAGAUCCACCGCUGUAUCAACAAAUCCUUCACCCGCUGCUGUCAUAAGGUGAAGUUUUUCUUGCCAUCAAACUUCUCAAACUUCGCCUUAAAUCCGCUUGAAGCCAUUGCACCCUUCAAGCAACCAGUCAGCCCUAAUCCUUUUGCAAUACCACGCCUCACACCCCAAAAAUAGAAUCAUAUCUGA